rnacentral:rRNA from 1 species
CCUACGGGAGGCUGCAGUCGAGAAUCAUUCACAAUGGGGGAAACCCUGAUGGUGCGACGCCGCGUGGGGGAAUGAAGGUCUUCGGAUUGUAAACCCCUGUCAUGUGGGAGCAAAUUAAAAAGAUAGUACCACAAGAGGAAGAGACGGCUAACUCUGUGCCAGCAGCCCCGGUAAUACAGAGGUCUCAAGCGUUGUUCGGAAUCACUGGGCGUAAGGCGUGCGUAGGCUGUUUCGUAAGUCGUGUGUGAAAGGCGCGGGCUCAACCCGCGGACGGCACAUGAUACUGCGAGACUAGAGUAAUGGAGGUGGAACCGGAAUUCUCGGUGUAGCAGUGAAAUGCGUAGAUAUCGAGAGGAACACUCGUGGCGAAGGCGGGUUCCUGGACAUUAACUGACGCUGAGGCACGAAGGCCAGGGGAGCGAAAGGGAUUAGAUACCCCGGUAGUC